CGGGGAGUAAAAUAAGCAAGAAGUGGGGAAGAUGAGGACGGAGGAGGAAGGAACAGCUGAAGCAGACAUUUUUGUUUGGUGUUUCAUCAGAGACUCUCUCAGGAAUGGGGCCACCUCACAGAGUCGCACACACAACCCUUCUUUCAGAGGUUGGAAUGCAGAAAACCCAGCAGCACCAGCUCUCUCUUCAGACAAGGCUAAGAGUGCAGUGGCACAAUCAUGGCUCACCAUAGCCUGGACUUCCUGAGCUCAAGUGAUCCUUGCACCUCAGCCUCCUCAGUAGCUGGGACUACAGGUGUGCGCCACCAUGCCUAGCUAAAUCACCUUCCGG
rnacentral:lncRNA from 1 species